GACAGAGGGUGCAAACGUUGUUCGGAAUUACUGGGCGUAAAGCGUGUGUAGGCGGCCUUAUAAGUCGGAUGUGAAAGCCCAGGGCUCAACCCUGGAAGUGCACUCGAUACUGUAAGGCUCGAGUACUGGAGAGGUUGGUGGAAUUCUCGGUGUAGAGGUGAAAUUCGUAGAUAUGGGGAGGAACACCGGUGGCGAAGGCGGCCACCUGGACGGUAACUGACGCUGAGACGCGAAAGCGUGGGGAGCAAACAGG
rnacentral:rRNA from 1 species